UACCUAACUGGGUUAGGGCCCUGGCUCCAUCUCCUUUAGGAAAACCUUCUGUGGGGAGUGGGGCUUUGACCCUAACCCAGCUGGGUU
rfam:Myotis lucifugus cont2.19567, whole genome shotgun sequence.